rnacentral:rRNA from 1 species
AACGAACGCUGGCGGCAUGCCUAACACAUGCAAGUCGAACGAGACCUUCGGGUCUAGUGGCGCACGGGUGCGUAACGCGUGGGAACCUGCCCUUAGGUUCGGAAUAACUCCCCGAAAGGGGUGCUAAUACCGGAUAAUGUCUUCGGACCAAAGAUUUAUCGCCUUUGGAUGGGCCCGCGUUGGAUUAGCUAGUUGGUAGGGUAAAAGCCUACCAAGGCGACGAUCCAUAGCUGGUCUGAGAGGAUGAUCAGCCACACUGGGACUGAGACACGGCCCAGACGCGUAAGGGAGGAGAAGGGGGAGAGGAUUGGGAGCGGGGCGAAGCCGAGAACAGUCACUGGGGGGGGGGUGAUAAAGGCCGUAGGGUUGCAAAGCUCUUUCCGACGGGAGAACAAGGACAUGGCGGGGAGAAUGAGCUCCGGCUAAGUCCGGGCCACCAGCAGGGAAAGUAGAUGAAGAGCAUCCUUCUGAAC